AACAGUUGGAAACGACUGCUAAUACCGCAUAAACUGCCUAAGGGCAGGAAAGGUGGCCUCUGAAUAUGCUGCCGCUUAUGGAUGAGCCCGCGUCUGAUUAGCUGGUUGGUGGGGUAAAGGCCUACCAAGGCGACGAUCAGUAGCCGGCCUGAGAGGGUGAACGGCCACACUGGGACUGAGACACGGCCCAGACUCCUACGGGAGGCAGCAGUGGGGAAUAUUGCGCAAUGGGGGAAACCCUGACGCAGCGACGCCGCGUGAGCGAAGAAGGCCUUAGGGUUGUAAAGCUCUGUUUUAGGGGACGAAAGCUAUAGGGAGAAAAAUGCCCUGUAAAUGACGGUACCCUAAGAGGAAGCCCCGGCUAACUACGUGCCAGCAGCCGCGGUAAGACGUAGGGGGCGAGCGUUGUCCGGAAUUACUGGGCGUAAAGAGCACGUAGGCGGGAACUUAAGUCAGGUGUGAAAGACCGUGGCUCAACCACGGGUAUGCAUUUGAAACUGGGUUUCUUGAGGGCAGGAGAGGAAAGCGGAAUUCCUGGUGUAGCGGUGAAAUGCGUAGAAAUCAGGAGGAAUACCAGUGGCGAAGGCGGCUUUCUGGACUGACCCUGACGCUGAGGUGCGAAAGCGUGGGUAGCAAACAGGAUUAGAUACCCUGGUAGUCCACGCCGUAAACGAUG
rnacentral:rRNA from 1 species